GAUGACGCUGGCGGCGUGCCUAACACAUGCAAGUCGAACGGACGAGAAGAGCUUGCUCUUCGAGUUAGUGGCGGACGGGUGAGUAACGCGUGAGCAAUCUGCCUUUCAGAGGGGGGAUAACAUUGGGAAACCGGUGCUAAUACCGCAUGAUGUGCGAGGGUCGCAUGACUCUUGUACCAAAGGAGCAAUCCGCUGAAAGAUGAGCUCGCGUCUGAUUAGCUAGUUGGUGAGGUUAACGGCCCACCAAGGCGACGAUCAGUAGCCGGACUGAGAGGUUUGAACGGGCCACAUUGGAACUGAGAUACGGUCCAGACUCCUACGGGAGGCAGCAGUGGGGAAUAUUGGGCAAUGGGCGCAAGCCUGACCCAGCAACGCCGUGUGAAGGAAGAAGGUCUUCGGAUUGUAAACUUUGUCUUAUGGGACGAUAGUGACGGUACCAUAGGAGGAAGUCACGACUAACUACGUG
rnacentral:rRNA from 1 species